rnacentral:lncRNA from 1 species
AUGACAUUGAUAGGAAUGAAAUUACGGGUCACGAUACCAAAGAGGGUAUGACUUGACGUCACAUUUCCGUAAACAUGCAACCUCUUUAAAUAUUCAAUGCUACUAACCCCCUCUGUAAAAUUGUAAUUUGUCAUAGUAAAGAAUAGGAUUGGAAUCACUACUAGGAGAAUCAACAAUUCUACUGGGUUUCAAUUUCUACUGUGACAUCUAUAUUAUAUCAUUAUUUUUCCCUGUUCCCCGUCUUGCUUCAACUUGAUAGAUAAAAAUUGAUAUGAGGAUAUAAAAAGCCCACACUCAUACUUAUAAACAAUAAACAACUAAGUACUCAUUACAGUAUAUAAUUAAUUAAUUAAAAUUAUCACAAAACGUAAGUAAAAGAAACGAAACACAUAAUUUCUAUAUAGCUGUGCAGUUUAAUAUCUUCAAAACUGGGAAUUGCAAUUAAGCUUUUGGAUGAAACAAUGACAUUAUGUAAUUGUUCGGAUGGUAUCUUUUCAUUAUUCCGAGUUUUAUGAUGUUACAGAGUUCGUACAGAGGGGCUCUUUUAUCACUUCCUUCUUAAUGCUUAAAAAAAUCACUUUUAUCUAUUAGAAUUUUUUGAAAAAGAGGGGUUUUGUGAAAAGGCCGUUUUAAAUAACAUGAGCUAUUGAUGUAAAAAUGGACUGAAAGAUAAUAAUAUAAGAAGGAAAAAUAAGCACAUACUGAAUUGUGAAUAUGCACUUCAGUUAACGCACCUUUAGACAUGUUAUUAUUAAAUAUCCAGGGGUAUUCUCCAGGACUCUAGCAGAAAAGGCUCUCCUAACUCUGCUGAUGCUCAAUGUCGACAAAGAAAUAGUACUCGGCGUAUAAGGUCCCAAUUUUAGGUAGUCCCGAUGUGUGUCACGUCGUCGCUUAAUCGCACAGCUUUUUUUUUGUUUCUGUCAUUUCUAAUGGCUCCGUAUGUGUUAUUUCUUUCAGUUGAUAUCCUGUUUUCAUAAAAAAAGUUAUUUUUUAUCCUUUUAGUCUAAAAGUCUGCACUUUUCACCAGCCUUGAAAACCACUAGUAAUUAAAGGAUUUGCAUUAGGAUUCAGUAUUAAAACAUUCUAACCCGCAAUCGUAAAUGGAGGCCUCAGUUACUCAUUUUGAUUUUAUUUUACUUCAGAAGAAGUUAUCCCAAACACGAUUUAUUUUUCGACAGGCCCCUUCGUUAUAUGAAAUGAAUCACAGCAGAUGUAUAACAUUCGGAAUAAUAGUCGUAUUCCAAACCUUGACUUUGUCUAGGAGAAUCAGCUGGAAGGAAACAAAUUUCUGAUUUUUUGUAAUUAUGAGCUGACUUUUGUUUCGUUUUUUUCUAUAUCAGCAUCUCCCCAGAGACAUCAAUCUUUAACCCCAUAAGGGAGGAUAAUUGUAAAACCUUCAGAUGUGCAAAACUAAUUCUUAAUACUUCCUCAUCAGACGCAAAGACCUCUGUUUUUCCAAGAUUCACUCUAGGCCUGAGACAUCUUUAAAUUUAUUUAUUGUUUGGAAAGUUCUAAUUAGAGACUGGGUUAAGUUCUCUGAAGUACACUCAUGGAUCAAUGUGAGGUCUUCUACCUACCAAAAUGGCUUGCGAUUGGUAACUGGUAAAAAUAAGAAAGGGGACAAGGAACUCGACGAAAGACAAGUCAUAUGGACGAACCUGGGAGGGGGGAUGCAGCUCUGAUUAAUAACCAAAGUAUAUAACUAUGAGAAACCGAGCCAAACGCUUUUUUCAAUCCUCGAUAAUGCAAAGAAUGUGUUCGGCCAUUCGCUCUUUUUUUCUUUCUUUUUUUUUGUUUUUUCCUUUUUUCCUUUCUGUUCGCUUGUAAUAAUGCUUGGGAGAACUUUCCUCGAUUUCAUAUUCAGAAACAGGACCUAAGUUCCUGAACUAAUUGAAUCCGAGCAUCACCUUCAACACAGAUCUCCUCAUUUGAUUUUGUCGGUUCCAGUACUAGAAGUUGAAGAAUCGGAACUGCUUGAACUGCUAUACCGAUAAUUGUACAACCUUACUAAAGAGGUAUUGUUUGCUGAAGAAACGUAGUUGUUUUCCAAUGGGGAUUUCCGUCUAUAUACGUCGAACGGAUUCGAGAAGCAUACAUGGAAUCAGUGGUAGUUUAUGGGGCAGGAACAUGGGAACCUUGGAUCAUAUAAAAAGAGGGAAACAUCAUUAAGUGUCAAAUGGCCAGUAUACUUGCUGUCUCUUGUACAGUUAUAUAAUUAACACCAACAAAAAUAAUGGAUAUUAUUCUCAAUAUAUAACUUUUAUAUCUUAGUGUUAAAAAAACAUGGGAUGACAUUAGAUUAACAAUGAUGGAGGAUGUUCUAAUCAUAUUUCAAGAAACGUAAACAUGUAUUUCUUACAACUAAAAUUAAACAACAUAUUUUCGAGGAUGUGCAGGUUAACAAUAAUAAUAUUAAACACACAAUUCUUGAAAAAAACAAAAAUGUAUGUUUAGUGUUUCUUGCCAUAGUAAUAUAACCAUAUACUACAAUAAUCUCAUUUCAAAAUCCUUAAAGUGGCAACGGUAAAAUUUAUUGGAAUUUAAAAAUCUUUAUACGGUGUGUUUUUAUUACAGGUACAUCAUUU